AGUCAAUAGAUACCCGGGUAGUCCACGCCCUAAACGAUGUCUACUAGUUGUUGGUGGAGUAAAAUCCAUUAGUAAACGCAGCUAAACGCGUGAAGUAGACCGCCUGGGGAGUACGGUCGCAAGAUUAAAACUCAAAGGAAUUGACGGGGGCCCGGCACAAGCGGUGGAUUAUGUGGAUUAAUUCGUAUGCAACGCGAAAAACCUUAACCUGGCCUUGACAUGCCACUAACGAAGCAGAGAUGCAUUAGGUGCCCGAAACGGGAAAGUGGACACGGGUGCUGCAUGGCUGUCGUCAGCUCGUGUCGUGAGAUGUUGGGUUAAGUCCCGCAACGAGCGCAACCCUUGCCAAUAAUUGCCAUCAUUCAGUUGGGCACUUAUUGGGACUGCCGGUGACAAACCGGAGGAAGGUGGGGAUGACGUCAAGUCCUCAUGGCCCGUUAUGGCCA
rnacentral:rRNA from 1 species